GUGGGGAGGGCCAGGUGUGGUCAGGAUGGGAGUGGGGAGGGCCAGGUGUGGUCAGGAUGGGAGUGGGGAGGGGCAGGUUUAUGGAGGGAGGGUGAGAAGGUCAGAUGUGGUCGGCAAUGGGAGUGGGGAGGGUCAGGUGUGGUCAGGAUGGGAGUGGGGAGGGGCAGGUAUAGACAGGAUGGGAGUGGGGAGGGUCAAGUGUGGUCAGGAUGGGAGUGGGGAGGGUCAGGUGUAGACAGGAUGGGAGUGGGGAGGGUCAGGUGUAGACAGGAUGGGAGUGGGGAAGGGCAGCUUUAUGGAGGGAGGGUGAGAAGGUCAGGAUGGGAGUGGGGAGGGUCAGGUGUAGACAGGAUGGGAGUGGGGAGGGUCAGGUGUAGACAGGAUGGGAGUGGGGAGGGUCAGGUGUGGUCAGGAUGGGAGUGGGAGGGUCAGGUGUGGUCAGGAUGGGAGUGGGGAGGGUCAGGUGUAGACAGGAUGGAAGUGGGGAGGGUCAGGUGUGGUCAGGAUGGGAGUGGGGAGGGUCAGGUGUGGUCAGGAUGGGAGUGGGGAGGGUCAGGUGUGGUCAGGAUGGGAGUGGGGAGGGUCAGGUGUGGUCAGGAUGGGAGUGGGGAUUUCCAGGGGGUUUGUUUCAUGGGGAAGGAAGUAAGUCAUAUUGAGUAUGGUUUUC
rnacentral:lncRNA from 10 species